AACCCCUUGAGAGUGGCGAACGGGUGAGUAAUAUAUCGGAACGUGCCCAGUCGUGGGGGAUAACGUAGCGAAAGUUACGCUAAUACCGCAUACGAUCUAAGGAUGAAAGCGGGGGAUCGCAAGACCUCGCGCGAUUGGAGCGGCCGAUAUCAGAUUAGGUAGUUGGUGGGGUAAAGGCUCACCAAGCCAACGAUCUGUAGCUGGUCUGAGAGGACGACCAGCCACACUGGAACUGAGACACGGUCCAGACUCCUACGGGAGGCAGCAGUGGGGAAUUUUGGACAAUGGACGCAAGUCUGAUCCAGCCAUUCCGCGUGCAGGAUGAAGGCCCUCGGGUUGUAAACUGCUUUUGUACGGAACGAAAAGGUUUCUAUUAAUACUAGGAGCUCAUGACGGUACCGUAAGAAUAAGCACCGGCUAACUACGUGCCAGCAGCCGCGGUAAUACGUAGGGUGCAAGCGUUAAUCGGAAUUACUGGGCGUAAAGCGUGCGCAGGCGGUUAUAUAAGACAGAUGUGAAAUCCCCGGGCUCAACCUGGGAACUGCAUUUGUGACUGUAUAGCUAGAGUACGGUAGAGGGGGAUGGAAUUCCGCGUGUAGCAGUGAAAUGCGUAGAUAUGCGGAGGAACACCGAUGGCGAAGGCAAUCCCCUGGACCUGUACUGACGCUCAUGCACGAAAGCGUGGGGAGCAAACAGGAUU
rnacentral:rRNA from 1 species